CCCUUAGAUGUCCUGGGCCGCACGCGUGCUACACUGAUGCAUACAGCGAGUACUCCCAGCUCCGAGAGGCUGCUGGUAAUCAGCAAUAUGCAUCGUGAUGGGGAUAGAUCUUUGGAAUUAUAGAUCCUGAACGAGGAAUUCCUAGUAAUCGCAGGUCAUCACCCUGCGUUGACUAAGUCCCUGCCCUUUGUACACACCGCCCGUCGCUCCUACCGAUUUCGAGUGAUCCGGUGAAUCAUUCGGACCGCGGCCCCUAGGCAUGCGGAAAGUCUAGUAAACCAUAUCACUUAGAGGAAGGAGAAGUCGUAACA
rnacentral:rRNA from 1 species